CUCGGUUAACUAUCGGUUUCUGAGCCGGGUGUUCGUGAAGCAGUCGGAUUACGAAACAUUUCUAUGGAGGUGCCAAAAAUGAACGGUACAGUCAAGUGGUUCAACGCAGAGAAGGGUUAUGGCUUCAUUUCCAACGACGAGGGCGGCGAGGACGUCUUCGUGCAUUUCUCCGCCAUCCAGGCCGAGGGCUUCAAGACCCUGGAGGAGGGCCAGAAGGUUACUUUUGAGACCGAGCCCGAUCCCAAGAACAGCGAGAAGCUGCGCGCUGUUAACGUUAUAAAGCUGUAAGCUUAGAAGCGUAAAAAGGCCGGGUCUCCUUAUUGGGGGCCCGGCUUU
rnacentral:sRNA from 1 species